GUGCAUUGUAGUUGCAUUGCAUGUGCAACACAGAAGUGCAAUGUAACUGCAGUGCAGCC
rnacentral:pre_miRNA from 1 species